AUGAAAUCACCCUCUUCACCAGGACAAGAAGGCCCUGUCUCACCUGCUCUGCCCCUGCCUCUCGGCCCUCUGGCCCGCACAGCACAAUCUACCCCAGGGCCUUUGCACUUACUUGCUCUGCCCUCUGCCUGGGACAUCGCCUUCCCCACUUUUUUCCAGACUCUGUCCUUCCCCACUCCCACCCUACCUGCUACUUUCAGAUCUUAGUCAUAAGCUUCCCUCCCUCACUCAGAGAGUCAGCCCCUGACCACCUUAUCACAAGCAGCACACACAGCUGGUCUCUCUGCCCAGCCCCGGCCCCCACGUCCCUUCUCAGCCCAUCUUGCCCCUGAAAGGCACGGGGAGGGCUUGGAGUUUGAACAGGUGUCUCAGGAAUACUGAGCCCCAUCCCCACCCCUGCACCGGGUCUUGGCUGUAGCACGCAGGCUUCUCUAGUUGCAGUGUGCAGACUUAGUGGGAUGUUAGUUCCCUGACCAGAGAUCAAACCCAUGUCCCCUGCACUGGAAGGUAGGUUCUUAACCACCUGACCACCGGGGAAGUCCCUGAAAGUAGCUCUUUAAACGGGAACUACUAAAGCUCUCAUUUUAUCGUAAUCAUCGUCAUUAUUAUUGUGGAUUGUGGAAUGAAGUGUUGCUAGGUAAUAAAGCCCUAGCUGGCCCAGAGGUGGCCCACCUCUUUCCCCUUAAGAACAAGGGACCAAGUGAAAGCAUUUUAGGGAAAAGGAAUCCAUCCAGCGUGUGCCGGGUGAACUGGGAGACUUCAUGCCUUUGAGCCAAGGCAGCGGGGAGACUGAUGGUCACUGGGCUCACCUGGGAGGUGGAGCUUGGGGGGCUUUCAGGGAGGGCUUCAGGCGAGCUGAAUGAUCAUGGGACGUCACUGCUCCCAAACCACUGCAGAUCUCAGAGAGAGAUUCCAGAAAUAAAGCACAGAGGUCACGGCUGAAGAAGGAUGAGCCUUCUGAUCUUCAUGUAGACAGGAGACAGCAUCACCCCUUCCCAAAGGGCCUGUGUCCCCCAAGAUGGUCCAGGGAGAGCUAGGAAGAGCCCCUGAUGGGGGCCAGACUAGAGCAGGUGCCCAGGAGAGGGCAGGUGAUGCCAGAAGCCCAGGGAUUGUGAGGGCAGUGGGGCCAUCUGUACCUGGACAAGGCUUCUGAGCUCAGGGUGUUGACACCUGGGGCCUGGACAGGAGAAAGAGGGGCGGCUGAGGCGCCUGAGCCUGGCGGGACAGACACCUCUGAUGGAUGAAGAGGGUCCCAGCCCUGCUCCAGACACAAGGGGUCAGCCUGCAGGAGUGGGUAGGGCUGCAGAACACACGGGCCCUGAGCCCAGGAAGGCCUGGUUUGGGAUCUCAGCAGUGUCACCCACCGCCUGUGUGACCUCAGCACCUCUUGCCUUGAUUCUCAUAUCUUUAAAAUGGGUGUAAAGAGAACCAGCCCUGCAGGAUUUUUAUAAAGACUAACUAGAUCUUCGAUGCGAGAUUCCCUGGUGCUUUGACUGCCAUCACCCAGUUCAGUCCCUGAUUGGGGAGCUGAGAUCCUGCAAGACAUGUGAUACAGCCAAAGGGGGAAAAAAGAAAAAAAAAGAUCAUGGAUGGAAAGGAUUUAGCAGACUAUUGGGCUUCCCUGGUGGUUCAGGUGGUGUAGAAUCUGCCUGCAGUACAGGAGACCCAGGUUCAAUCCCUGGAUCAGGAAGAUCCCCUGGAGAAGGGAAUGACUGCCCAUUCCGGUAUUCUUGCCUGAAGAAUUCCAUGGACGGAGGAGCCUGGCGGGCUACAGUCCAUAGGUUCACAAAGAGUCGGACACAACUGAGCAACUAACACUUUCAUUUUUCAUACCUCGUGAACCGUAAGUAAUGGUGAGUGAG
rnacentral:lncRNA from 1 species